rnacentral:rRNA from 1 species
UACGUAGGGUGCGAGCGUUAAUCGGAAUUACUGGGCGUAAAGCGUGCGCAGGCGGUGAGUUAAGUCUGCUGUGAAAGCCCCGGGCUCAACCUGGGAACGGCAGUGGAAACUGGCUCGCUGGAGUAUGGCAGAGGGGGGUGGAAUUCCGCGUGUAGCAGUGAAAUGCGUAGAGAUGCGGAGGAACACCGAUGGCGAAGGCAGCCCCCUGGGCCAAUACUGACGCUCAGGCACGAAAGCGUGGGGAGCAAACAGG